UGAGCAAUCUGCCCUUCUCAUCGGAAUAAGCGUUGGAAACGACGUCUAAUGCCGAAUACGACCUCCUUUCGCAUGAUCGGAGGUGGAAAGCUCCGGCGGAGAAGGAUGAGCUCGCGGCCUAUCAGCUAGUUGGUGAGGUAAUAGCUCACCAAGGCGAUGACGGGUAGCCGGCCUGAGAGGGUGACCGGCCACACUGGGACUGAGACACGGCCCAGACCUCUACGGGAGG
rnacentral:rRNA from 1 species